rnacentral:rRNA from 1 species
CGUAGGGUGCGAGCGUUAAUCGGAAUUACUGGGCGUAAAGCGUGCGCAGGCGGUUUUGUAAGACAGAUGUGAAAUCCCCGGGCUCAACCUGGGACCUGCAUUUGUGACUGCGAGGCUAGAGUACGGUAGAGGGGGAUGGAAUUCCGCGUGUAGCAGUGAAAUGCGUAGAUAUGCGGAGGAACACCGAUGGCGAAGGCAAUCCCCUGGACCUGUACUGACGCUCAUGCACGAAAGCGUGGGGAGCAAACAGGAUUAGAUACCCUGGUAGUCCACGCCCUAAACGAUGUCAACUGGUUGUUGGGUCUUUACUGACUCAGUAACGAAGCUAACGCGUGAAGUUGACCGCCUGGGGAGUACGGCCGCAAGGUUG